UGGCACUCUGCUGGCUGCCAUGGCCCCCCAGGCACUGCUGGCCCCUACAGUGCCUUCCAUGUCCUUAGGGGGUGACGGCGGACUCACUGCAAGUCCCAUCUUCCUGGAGCCAAAGGUCUGACUCUGUUACCUGGACUAGAGUGCAGUGGUGUUAGCCUAGCUCACAGCAACCUCAAACUUCUGAGAUUAAGCCAUUCUCCUGCUUCAGUUUCCCGAGUAGCUGGGAUUACAGCACCAGGUGUGUACAAUUACGAAUAUUCUUGGUUUCACCAGAUGGAGGUGGCAGCAGAAGCGCCCCUUUCAGUGAAGUAUCUCACUCGUGUCAGACGUAGCAUGACAAGUCUCUUUCCAUCUAUUAUUUCAUUGACUUCUCAAAACGCAGCGAGGUAGGUAUUAUUAUCCCAAAUUGCACAGGUAAGGAGUCUAAGGCUCAGUGUGUUUCAAAUAACUUGUCCCA